GGGUCUGUAGCUGAGAGGGAUCAGCGCCCGCCUGAAGAGCGGGAGAGGAAGGCUCGAUACCUUCCGGGCCCA
rfam:Frankia sp. BMG5.36 contig_107, whole genome shotgun sequence.